UGUAAGGGCGAUCUGGCUGCGACAUCUGUCACCCCAUUGAUCGCCAGGGUUGAUUCGGCUGAUCUGGCUGGCUAGGCGGGUGUCCCCUUCCUCCCUCACCGCUCCAUGUGCAUCCCUCCCUAAGCUGCACGCUCGGUCGAAGAGGACGACCUUCCCCGAAUAGAGGAGGACCGGUAUAAGAGCAGCUGUGCUCCCCUGCUAGAACCUCCAAACAGGCUCUCAAGGUAUUCUUCUUGCAUUUUAAAUUCAACAAAAGUUGACAGAAUUCUUUUAAAUAUUCUCAAUAAAGCAUUAGAUUUAUGUAA
rnacentral:snRNA from 1 species